AUGAUAGCCUGCUGUUUUUCAGAGCAAGUAUUAAACCUACUGGAGUCAUAUUGUAUGGCAUCGGGACAGAGAAUAAACAGCAAAAAGUCAUCGAUUUUCUUUAGCAAGGGGACCCUAGAGAUAGUACGAGAUGAAGUAAAGGGUUUCCUUCAUGUCCCUAAUGAAUCUUUGAGUGGCAGGUACGGGAUGCCCACAGAUGUAGGGCAUUCGAAAAAUGGAACCUUUAAAUAUGUAAGUGAUCGGGUAUGGGACAAAGUUAAAGGUUGGAUGAGCAAGUGUUGA
rnacentral:rRNA from 1 species